AUACGAAGGGGGCAAGCGUUGUUCGGAAUAACUGGGCGUAAAGCGCACGUAGGCGGAAUGUUAAGUUAGAGGUGAAAUCCCAGGGCUCAACCCUGGAACUGCCUUUAAUACUGGCAAUCUAGAGACCGAGAGAGGUGAGUGGAAUUCCGAGUGUAGAGGUGAAAUUCGUAGAUAUUCGGAGGAACACCAGUGGCGAAGGCGGCUCACUGGCUCGGUACUGACGCUGAGGUGCGAAAGCGUGGGGAGCAAACAGGAUUAGAUACCCUUGUAGUCC
rnacentral:rRNA from 1 species